rnacentral:tRNA from 1 species
GCGGAAGUGGUGAAAUGGCAAACACACUAGCCUUAGGAGCUAGCGCCCAAAAGGCUUAGGGGUUCAAGUCCCCUCUUCCGCACCA